GCUUUCAAAUAUAUAACAGCUUUUACUGUAUACACACUCACACAGAGAGAGAAUUUGCCACACACACACACACACACACACAUAUACACACAUACACAUACGCACACACCUAUAAAAUAUACUAUCUGCAUAUCAAUGGUGAAUAUGUUCCUGGAUUUCUCAUGGAUACAUGGAGCUACACAUAAUAUCAAACCUUAUUAAAAUAAAGGACUUUCAGCCCAAUAAUACCAUAGAGUCAUGCUGAAGGAUCUAGAAAAUAACCAGAGAGGAUAAGUACGGAAUGUAUGUGUAUAUAUUCUAAGUAAUGAUUCACAGUUGUUUGCUCUUUCAAAGUGGAAAGAUACAGUUUCCAUACCAACUGAAAGGAAGAUAAAUUAUAUGAAAGUAAACAGAAGACCAACUAUCUUGAACUUCAAUCUGAGUAAGAAAGGACAAACUGGUUGAGAUUCUAAUUGCAGAAAGAUUAGAGACAAAAUAAUCCUAAAUGGGGGAAAGAUUGAAUAUUUAUGUGGGUUAUGUGGUAGAAAUACAGGAAACUGACAUUUAAAUUAGCAUCAGUGAAACUCAAAAAAAUUGACACUAGUGGCAGCCAGCCAUUCUAGCAGGUCGCAGUGGAGGGAGCUGAGGUAGGAGGCAGGGUCAUUCCACUUGCGAAAAUGCUUCUUCCCUUAGCCUCCUCCUUCUGAUGACAUCCACGGAAGGCAUUUCAGUAGAAGACAGCAGAGGAGGAUGAAGUGGGAAGCAGGGUCCCAAUGGAGGUUAAGCCCACUUGUUGAUGGAUGUCCAGAAUCGGCAGCAUCGACCGCAGCCCUUUUUAUCCUGGGCAACGACCGAGCCAGUAUAGACUUCGUUUUGGUUUGUUUCUCCAUAGCGCUAAUGGGUUAGGUGCUCUUAGUUCCACACCUUUCUGGCUUGGUUGGACCUGCUGGUAGUUGUACUUCCACCAGCACAGUAAAGCCCUCCCACCACGACAAGAUGGCUGCACUACAAACUAGAACUGACAGCAGGCAUAACAAAGCAUUGCAUGGACAGUUCCUUGACAAAAUUGAAGGAAAGGUUGAUAAGGAGAAGACCUGGCUAUGGUUCACAAAUGGUACACUGAAGAAAGAGACAGAAGGCCUGAUUCUUGCAGCACAGGAGCAAGCCAUCAGAGCAAAUGCAAUUAAUGCCAAGAUUGAAAAAUCAGCUGAUGACCCAAAAUGCAGACUGUGCAAGGAAGCUGACGAAACCAUUGAUCAUAUCCUUAGCUGCUGUAAAAAAAAUCGCACAGACAGACUACAAACAGAACCACAACUAUGUCAGGGUAUUGUGUAUUGUGAAAUGUUAAAAUCAAUCUGGAUUCAGCAAUUAUGGAGUUAAUGAGAGUCUGCUAUGAUUGAUGUAUCACAGGACCAAUGGGGUCAAGUGUGUUUUGACCGGGACUUACUAUCUAGUUCCUGUGGAAUGCGAGGGAGUUAGUUUUUCCUGUGUCGAACAGAGAACAGCGAUGAGAGAUGAGCUGUGUGUGUGUGCAUGGUGCUUUCGGCAAGCACUCAUGGAGGAGAAAGGACUGAAUUUGCUCUAUCUGUAAAUAGAUCAUGUAAAUAAAGUUGUUUGCCAUUGGACUACCAACUGAACCCUCAUCUACUGGAGUGAGUUUGUCCAGUGCUGUUUUCCACACCGGGAGACAGUCUGGAGAGAAGGAGGUGAACCGGGAUGGUGAAUUUUUGGAUUUCACUCUGCUACCCAUCAUCCCCGCUGACAAACUAUGUGGCCCAAAUGAUUCAUUAGAAUUUAUGGCACAAGUACCAUCUGCCAGUAGUAAAGAACUAGUGGGAUCACAAACCUGCAAAGAUAGUGGAAAAUGAACACGCAAAAAUACUGUGGGACUUUCGAAUACAGACUGACAAAGUUCUGGAACACAACACACCAAACCUGAUGGUUGUGGAAAAGAAAAAUGUUUGGAUUAUUGAUAUUGCCAUACCAGGUGACAGUCGAAUUAAUGAAAAACAAAAAGAAAAAUUCAACUAUUAUCAAGAUCUCAAAACCGAACUGCAAAGGCUCUGGCAGAAACCAGGAGAGGUGGUUCUGGUGGUAAUCAGCACACUGGGUGCCAUGCCAAAAGAUCUCAGCCGGCAUUUAGAAACAACAAACAUCAACAAAAUUACGAUUUGUCAACUGCAAAAGGCUACCUUACUGGGAUCUGUGCACAUCAUCCGAAAAUACAUCACACAGUCCUAAAUGCUUGGGAAAUAUUCAACUUGUGAUUUUGUAAUACGAAAUCCAGCAUACAUCUCUCAUUUGCUGUGUCAUACUGUGUCUUUGUGUCAAUAAUAAUAAUAAUAAUAAUAAUAAUAAUAAUAAUAAUAAUAAUAAUAAAAAUUAUUUGUGCCUAGAGCCGGCCCAAGAUAAUUUUCAAGUGUAAAGAACAGAAUUUUGCCCCCCUCCCAACCAAUCACUGAAAAAUAAAAAAAAAUAAAAAUAAAAAAACAGGAGAAAUCCAGACAGGAAACAAUCAGGGCAAGUUUGUUUCAGAUAGUCCAAUGGGCAGGAGCCAGGUUGCUCACCAGAGCAAUGUACAGGGAACACAAAACUCCCUUGCUAUGUCAGCUCCACUGGCUGCCAGUCUACUACCAGGCACAAUUCAAAGUGCUGGUUUUAGCCUAUAAAACCCAAAUGGUUAUGGCCCAUUUUAUCUGUCUGUACAUAUCUUCCCCUAUGAGCCACCUCAGAGAUUAAGAUUAAGCGCAGCUGGUGGGGACGAGAGAAGGGCCUUCUCAGUGGUGGCCCCUCGGCUGUGGAACUCUCCCCCCCCAACAAUAUCAGAUCAACUCCUUCCCUUUUUGCCUUCAGAAGGCAAGUAAAAACAUGGCUUUGGGAUCAGGCUUUCAGUAACUAGUAUAGUGCAAUAAUAGACUUGGAAUAAUGUAUAAUUGACGAUGAAACGGCCUUGGGUUAUGAUUUUCGGAUGAUGUGAUUUUAAUUAAAAUUUUAAAUGAUUUUUUAAUCUUUAUUGUUUGUACUUUUAAGGCAUCGAAUGGUUGCCAUUUGUAAGCUGCCUUGAGUUUCCUUUGGGGUGGAGAAAGGCGGGGUAGAAAUAUGAUGAACAAUAAAUAAACAAAUAAAUUUUAUUUUACAUCUGUAA